AAAGAGCUAGAGAGUGGCAGUGGGAGAGUGAGGAAGAAAUAGAGAGAUAAAGAAACAGUGAGAGAUCUGCAGUGGGGGAGGGAAAGAGAGAGAAAGAGUAAAAGAUAUAUUUUCUCGUUGGAGUCUCUCAGUGUGUUGACGUUUGAACACGCGUGCGUGCUUGUGUCGCAUACACGCUCCAAACUCAAGCCUUUACAUACAUAACAUACAUACAUACACACACAUACAUAUCUAUCUAUCUAUCUAUCUAUCUAUCUAUCUAUCUAUUUUUUUCAAUCAUAAAUAUAUACAUUCACACAUGCCCGUCAACAUCUCGUUUCAAAAUAACAACGGACUACAGGAUAUACCCCUGGAACUCAAUCAAAAAUCGUACUAUUAAUUAAUCACAGAGCACGUAUAAAGGAGGAUAAUGAAGUGUCUUUACAACUGUUAAUGUUAUGAAAUACAAAGAUAUACUGGUUGCUGAGCGUUUUGAACGUGUUUGAAAUUACUUUAAUACAUUUUGUAUCGGCAUUCCCUGCUCUGGAAGCUUAUAAUCUGAACAUUUUUACUCAUUACGCAUUCGCCCUCUCUUCAAGUUUUACCCUGCCUUGAAUCAAAUUGGAUAAAACUCAGCAAAAAUGUACAAGCCUCUAAGACAUUGACUCACUUCGAAAUUCUUUGGAACAGACUUCUCAUCUAGAAGCUAAUUCCAUUCCAAUAUUGUCCAACCGAGCUACAGAGAUGUCACAAAGUAUGGUUUCCAUAUACGUUCUGAUAAUGAGAAGGGGAACGCGACAAACUCUUGAGACAUGAAGUAACCACAAUUAUUUCUUGGGCGAUUUUUAUUUUUUUAUUUCAGUUUCAGAAAAGAAAAAAAAACACAGAAUAAAUAAAAAGUUGGUGGGGGUAAAAUAAAAUACAGAUGCAAAUAUUUCCUUUCCAUUAGUUGGUAAUGAAUUCAGGUGUAACUGUUGAAGAUAUAUUGUACAAAGA